rnacentral:rRNA from 1 species
GGUAGUCCACGCCGUAAACGAUGUCGACUUGGAGGUUGUGCCCUUGAGGCGUGGCUUCCGGAGCUAACGCGUUAAGUCGACCGCCUGGGGAGUACGGCCGCAAGGUUAAAACUCAAAUGAAUUGACGGAGGCCCGCACAAGCGGUGGAGCAUGUGGUUUAAUUCGAUGCAACGCGAAGAACCUUACCUACUCUUGACAUCCAGAGAACUUAGCAGAGAUGCUUUGGUGCCUUCGGGAACUCUGAGACAGGUGCUGCAUGGCUGUCGUCAGCUCGUGUUGUGAAAUGUUGGGUUAAGUCCCGCAACGAGCGCAACCCUUAUCCUUUGUUGCCAGCGGUUCGGCCGGGAACUCAAAGGAGACUGCCAGUGAUAAACUGGAGGAAGGUGGGGAUGACGUCAAGUCAUCAUGGCCCUUACGAGUAGGGCUACACACGUGCUACAAUGGCGCAUACAAAGAGAAGCGACCUCGCGAGAGCAAGCGGACCUCAUAAAGUGCGUCGUAGUCCGGAUUGGAGUCUGCAACUCGACUCCAUGAAGUCGGAAUCGCUAGUAAUCGUAGAUCAGAAUGCUACGGUGAAUACGUUCCCGGGCCUUGUACACACCGCCCGUCACACCAUGGGAGUGGGUUGCAAAAGAAGUAGGUAGCUUAACCUUCGGGAGGGCGCUUACCACUUUGUGAUUCAUGACUGGGGUGAAGUCGUAACAAGGUAACCGUAGGGGAACCCUGC